CCCGCUGAACUUAAGCAUAUCAAUAAGCGGAGGAAAAGAAACUAACAAGGAUUCCCCUAGUAACUGCGAGUGAAGCGGGAAAAGCUCAAAUUUAAAAUCUGGCGGCCUUUGGCCAUCCGAGUUGUAAUUUAGAGAAGCGUCUUCCGCGCUGGACCGUGCACAAGUCUCCUGGAACGGAGCGUCAUAGAGGGUGAGAAUCCCGUCUUUGGCAUGGACAUCCCAGGGCUUUUGUGAUGCGCUCUCGAAGAGUCGAGUUGUUUGGGAAUGCAGCUCAAAAUGGGUGGUGAACUCCAUCUAAAGCUAAAUAUUGGCGAGAGACCGAUAGCGAACAAGUACCGUGAGGGAAAGAUGAAAAGCACUUUGGAAAGAGAGUGAAACAGUACGUGAAAUUGCUGAAAGGGAAACGCUUGAAGUCAGUCGCGUCGUUCAGGACUCAGCCUUGCUUUGCUUGGUGUACUUUCUGUUCGACGGGUCAGCAUCAAUUUUGGUCGGUGGAUAAAGGCUCAGAGAAUGUGGCAUCUUCGGGUGUGUUAUAGCUCUGGGUCGCAUACAUCGGCUGGGAUUGAGGAACUCAGCACGCCGCAAGGCCGGGUACUUGUACCACGUACGUGCUUAGGAUGCUGGCAUAAUGGCUUUAAUCGACCCGUCUUGAAACACGG
rnacentral:rRNA from 1 species